UGGGUAGUCGUACGAGCGCACCUGUCUUAUUUGCCAUCAUUUAGUUGGGUACUCUAGGGAGACUGCCGGUGACAAACCGGAGGAAGGUGGGGACGACGUCAAGUCAUCAUGGCCCUUACGACCAGGCUACACACGUGCUACAAUGGGGCGUACAAAGGGUUGCAACCCCGCGAGGGUGAGCUAAUCCCAUAAAACGUUUCGUAGUCCGGAUCGCAGUCUGCAACUCGACUGCGUGAAGUCGGAAUCGCUAGUAAUCGUGAAUCAGAAUGUCACGGUGAAUACGUUCCCGGGCCUUGUACACACCGCCCGUCACACCAUGGGAGUGGGUUGCAAAAGAAGUGGGUAGCAUAACCUUUUGGAGUGCGCUCACCACUUUGUGAUUCAUGACUGGGGUGAAGUCGUAACAAGUAGCGUAGGGACUGCGGCUGGAUCACUCCUU
rnacentral:rRNA from 1 species